rnacentral:rRNA from 1 species
GAGGAMAAGUCUGGUGCCAGCAGCCGCGGUAAUUCCAGCUCCAAUAGCGUAUACUGAAGUUGUUGCAGUUAAAAAGCUCGUAGUUGGACUUGUGUGCGUUGCCGUGCGGCGGUCUGCGUUCAAAAGAGCGUUACGACAUGCGGCGGCGGCGCCGUAAAAUCUUCAACUGGAUGGCGCCUGGUCUUAAUUGCCCGGGCGUCGCUGAUUCGGUUGAUCGUUUACUGUGAGAAAAUCAGAGUGUUCAAGGCAGGCAUUAUUGCAAUUGAAUAUGUUAGCAUGGGAUAAUAAGAUACGGCAUCCGCAUUUUGUUGGUUCUUAUAGCGGAGGCAAGGAUUGAGARGGACGGUCGGUG